rnacentral:rRNA from 1 species
GACGAACGCUGGCGGCGUGCUUAACACAUGCAAGUCGAACGGAAAGGCCUCUUUCGGGGGGUUCUCGAGUGGCGAACGGGUGAGUAACUCGUGAGUAACCUGCCCUUGACUUUGGGAUAACUUCAUGAAACUGGGGCUAAUACCGGCUAGGAGCUCCUGCUGCAUGGUGGGGGUUGGAAUGUUUCGGCGGUUGGGGAUGGACUCGCGGCUUAUCAGCUUGUUGGUGGGGUAGUGGCUUACCAAGGCUUUGACGGGUAGCCGGCCGGUGGGGGUGACCGACAACCCUGAGACUGAGAGGCGGCCCAGACAGCGACGGGAGGCAGAUGGGGGAAAGAUUGAACAAGGGGUGCAGGCCUGAUGCAGAAGCUCCGUGGGCCGGAUGAUUGCGUUAGGGUUGAAAACCGAUUUCGCACAUGACGAAGCUUUGUGUGACGGUAGUGGGUAAAAAAGCACCGGCUAACUACGUG